AACUAUUAUGCUAUCCAAAGGGAUCCAAAUAUUUGGCCUGGGCCUGAAAAGUUUUUGCCUGAGAGGUUUGUUGGGAGCAGUAUAGACAUUCGUGGACGUGACUUCCAACUUUUACCAUUUGGCUCUGGCAGAAGAAGUUGCCCUGGAAUGCAGUUGGGGAUAAUCAUUGUCCAACUAUUAGUAGCACAACUGGUGCAUUGCUUUGAUUGGGAGCUUCCAAAUGGUAUGCAGCCUUGUGAAUUGGAUGUUGAGGAGCACUUUGGAUUAGCAACAAGCAGAGAAAAUCCUUUAAUGGUUAUUCCUACUUAUAGACUAAACAAUGCUUAAUCUCAAAUGAUACAAUAAUAUUAAGUAUAUAAAGCAGAAAUAAUGGAGUUGGCUGAAAUAGUUGGCCUUAAUCAAAUAAGAGUAUAGUUGGUAAGGUCUACGUACAUUCUACCCUCCCUAGACUCCAUUCGUGGGAUUUUUCACAGGGAACGUUGUUGUUGUUGAAGAUCUAUUCCAUCCAUUCAAGUCAUCUCUUCUGGAUUAUAGAAAAAUACUGUUUAAAGAAGUCUUUAACGAGAAUUUUAGUUACUUGGAAGUGACAAUCAAAUUAAUAAUAAACCUACUUCGUGUAGGAAUACUUUUAAAGGUGUAAGGUCAUUCGUAAGUACUAUGCAGGCAUUGUUUAGAAACAUGGUUUUCAACCAUUUAUUUUCUGUAUACACUAAGAGGAAAGUGAAGUAACGUGGAGGUGGCGUAUUUUGGAGGGUAGAGGAGACAAUUAACAUGGACCGUCACUUGUAAAACUUGUGUUCUCUAUUGGGCUAUGUUGUGCCCAACUACUAGAUGAUUCACCAACUAAGCGAUAAUGAUAUGACUUUUUAACUUGCUCAAGUUUUGUAUGAUAAUUCUAGUACUACUAUUUGUUUAUUUAGGAAUUUUGUGCAUCAUUCUAGGGUCAAGAAUAUAAACAUCAAGCAUCAUUUCAUUAGAGGUCAUGCCUUAAAUGGUGAUAUUAAACUUCCGUUUGUAAACAUUGAGUUUCUAUUGGCUGCUAGUUUUGUCGAAUCCCUACUUGAACAAAGCUUUUGUACUCUCAGAAAAUCUCUCAGAAUUAUUUCAUACUAGUAAAAUUACCCGUGCGAAAUUUAAUAUCACGAAAUUUAUAAAAUAAUACUUAAAAUCUAUCAGGCAUUAAAACUAAAACAUUAUAUUAUCUUACAUACAAGAUAACGUAGUAACAAACAUUAAUAAUGUAAAAGAAAAUGAAAAUUAUUACAUCUUAUCAGAGAAAAUGGUCAAAUGCCCCCUUAAGCUAUGACCGAAUUCUCAAUUACACACUCAUUCUUCACAGGAGUCCUAUCACCCCCCUAAACUGUUUAAAACUAAAAUUAUUACCACCCUAGAUGUCUACAUGGCAAAGUGAGUGUAUUGCACUCUCCUGGAGAGAGUGAAGAUAAAAAAAUAAAUAUUAAAAUUUUACUUUUAAUAUUUUUUCAUAAAUAUAUGCAUUUUAAUUUUUUUAAUUAUUUUUCUUAUUUGGUUCUAUUUCUAAUUUGGUUUCUUCUCCAUAGCAACUUAGUAGAGCAUCAAUGGCAACCACCAAAUUACACCACCUCUCACCAUUUUGAAACCACCAUCAUUAUUAUAUGGGAACCUUAUUAUAUUAAUCAAUAUACCACAAAUCGUAGAUAAAAAUUCCAUCCUUUUUCUCCACAAUCAGGAACUACAGACUCAAAAUCUUUCAAAGCAAACAAAUUUAAGCUUAAUAUAGUGACACUCAACUUAUUGUCUUCGAUUAAACUUUCAAUACAAGGAAAUUUUUUGAUCCUAUAUUCAAUACCCAAAAGACCCACGAUUUUUUUUAUGCGCUUACAAUUUUUGGGAUUUGAAUUUUCUCCGGUUUGAAGCUAGUUUCGAUCGAUGGCGGUUUAAAGAUUUUUUUUAAGUUUCAGACAAUCAAUUCAAUGGAUAAAUUUUAUUUCAGCUUAAAAUAAUACUCCUCAACUGAUUUAGCAACUUGUAACUUUCUUGCAAAUCUGAAAAAAUGCAGUUCAUGUUCUUCAUCUUCUUUGUAUGAUUGCUACAAAAGAAAUUGAUGCAAAACCACCCUAAAUCUUCUCCAAAUUGCCUCAAAUUUUAGAUAUAAGCUUAUCUCAAUAUUUUGACUCUUUUGAUUUAUAUUACCUAUUUAAAACGGAGUUCGUCUGUGGUAAGUAAAAAUUAGAACUCAAGCUUAUAAACUAACUUUAAUGGUGAUUUCAAGUUGUGCUUCAAAGUUUCAUCCUUUAGCUUCGAUUUUCAACCAUACGAAAUUCUUUGAACCAUCGACGAACUUAGUGUCACGCCCCAAACUCAAGGGGCGCAACUGGCUCCUAAUGCCAAAACUCAGGUCCGAGCUGACCCUACUAAACCAUUUGCUACUAGCGCAUGGCAGCCACACGCAAUCAAAUAAACAAACAAGUAUAUAUCGGCUUAAAACUAAGCUCUCGGUCGGCAAGGCCCCUGUCAACAGAUCUGCAAAAGAAACAACUACUCCCAAGAGUUCAUAUAAAGAAAUUGUCAACUAGCACAAAAGUCCUGAUUGGGCCGUCAAGGCCACCAUGAUCUCUAUACCAAAACUGAAAGCAUGUAUAUAACAAGACAAUGCAUCACACAACUAACAAGCUUUAGCAAACCAACAAAGCUAGGCUAGCAUGGCCAUAACGUAGCUAUAAAACCCACACACUAGUCUGCAAGCCUCUAAGAGUAGUAAAGAUUGGUGGGACAGGGCCCAGCCUACCCAUAAAAAUAUAUACAACAAAAGCUAACAAACCUCCAAACUCUGGCAGCUCCGUAGGAAAAAGGCUAGCCAACCGGAUAGAAGUCAAUCCUGUUGCUGAGGAGGUCUACUCGAUCGUCUGUCAGGACUUUCAUGCAUGAAUGCAGCGCCCCCAGGCAAUGGGGCGUCAGUACAAAAUAAUGUACAGAGUAUGAAAGGCAAUAGACUAUGAGCAUGUAUCCUAAUAUACUGGAAUAAUUCGAUAAAUAAAUCAAGGAUAAGAUAAGUGUACUGACUUGCUCAUAAAUCUAAACUUAUCAAAAAUAAUAAAAUAACAACCUAACCAAGCCCCCAUAAGCUCGGCAGGUACAAACAGCAGACAAGACCACCUACUCAGGCCCCCAUAACCCCGAAAGGUGCCAAUCAGUCUAUAUACCCCUAUCGGUAGUCCCCUAGCCCUGUAGGCAGUCACAUAGCCCUCUUAGUCAUUAAUAUAACCCCGUAGGCAGCACAUCGCUCUCUUAGGCAUCAACAUAGCUUAUAGACAACCCAUAGCCCUCUUAGGCAACAACAUAACCAUGUAGGAAGCACAUAGCCUUAUUAGGCGUCAAUAUAGCCCUGUAGGUAACUCAUAGUCCUUCUAGGCAUCAAUAUAGCCCCGUAGGCAACUCAUAGUCUUUUUUGGCAUCCAUAUAGCCCCGUAGGCAGAGCAUAUCCCUUCUAGGCAUAAAUCACAUUCAUGCAGCUAACCACACUAGCCCCAAGGGCAACAAUAACAAUCCAAUCGACUAAAACGAGCAAUUUAGUUAUAAGCAACCUAUACAAAUAGCCUCUAAGUCGUGUCCAACAUAGGGAUCCUACUAACUGAAUAAGAAUCCCGACAAGGGAGAAUUAUAUCAACUCGAGCAGCCAACAAUCAACAAUAACAGCUACAAGUAUAUAAAGGAUGACAACCCAAUUACAUUGCUCCUAAGCUUUAAGGAAACAUGCCGUAAGUAGGGAAUAGCCUUAACAUACCUUUUUUCGCUGAAUUCACGUGGCCUAACGAUUUUUACUCAUAACCCCUUCGAUACUACAACAAGACAGGACCAUAAUCAACACACAAAAAUAGAAGAUACCACGACAAUGCGAUAAAAGAUAUGUAUUUCCAUCGCAAAUUGCUAUUUGCUACUUAUAAAAGCUAGAGUCGAUGAAAGAAGGGACUUACCUCGAACUUAAGUUCGUAAUACGCCUCAAAACCUUCAAAUAUGUCCAAACCCUUGAUGUCGCAACACUAAAGUGUGAUAUGCUACGAAAUCGAUAAAANNNNNNNNNNNNNNNNNNNNNNNNNNNNNNNNNNNNNNNNNNNNNNNNNNNNNNNNNNNNNNNNNNNNNNNNNNNNNNNNNNUAAGUCGAGAAAAUCUAUACUUCACUUGAUCCUAGAAAUGGGUUUCUCUAAUUUUUCUGGUUCUUAGCUAAAAAAUGAAGAAAAGGUUGAAGAAUAAGAUGUAUAUAAAGUUCCACCGACCUAGGGCCCCAGCUUACGUGCUUGCUUGCGCAGUCCCAUAAAAACGUGAAUAUCUCUCUAUUAUGAAGUCGUAUGAACAAACAGUUUGAUGCGUUGGAAACUAGACUCGUAGACCUUCGAUUACAUAGGUCGUAGGCCCCAUAAAUCUUUAUAUAUUGGGAGAAAACCUCCGAGAUAUUUGACCCAAAUUUCAGAGAAAUCUUUAAAAAGGAACUUACAGUAACUUUCGCCAACUUUCAUUUUGCCAUUUACCUAACUUCAAAACUUGAGAUACGACCCUUGAACACUUAAAAAUGACAUACCACAUCAUUCUUAAUUUAUUACCACCCUCCUGGUCUUUCCGUGAAGAUACAAGUAAUUUUAUACCUUUCAAAAAGGUAGGGUGUUACACUUAGUUUCUCCUAAUUUAAGAAUAUAGAUUCACAAAAUUCAUAUGAAUGCUCGUCGAUUUUUAUGGAGUUCCGACAUUCUUCAAAUCCAAAAAUUGCAGCUAUAUAUAAACUCAAUCAACCCUGUGUUUUCAGCUUCAAACAAUUAGCAAUCAACAUUAUAAUAAAAAAGUUUCAAUAUAUGAAGAUCUAAGACACAAAUCUACAAAUUCCAACCUUUUGACCUUCAACAUAGUUUUUAGAAUAAUAAAUUAAAAAGAGAGAAAAAGGUUUUAAUUAAUAUUUCCAGCUGUCAAACGCGUGCACAUCACCUGUCAAUAUAAAUGUGGUUGUCACUUUUAAGGGGAGGGGGUAAAAAUCUCAAUUUUAACAGUAUAUGGGGUGAUAGGACUCCUGUAAAGAAUAGGUGUGUAAUUGAGAAUUCGGUCAUAGCUUAAGGGGGCAUUUGACCAUUUUCUCUAUCCUUAAUAACAUAAGCAUAAAUUAAAGAUUGUAAAAAUAUAUAUCAGGAUCUGUAACACAAGCAAUAGUGAAAAAGAUUGAAAUAACUGUGAAAAAUUGAACCUAUACCUUUCUUUGAGAUUGAACCUCCAAAGUGUCAGUGAGCCAAUCAAUAGGAGCAAAGUACGCACAAAAUUAAUUGGGAGGAGGAGGAGGGGUGGGGGGAAGGCGGAGGAGGNNNNNNNNNNNNNNNNNNNNNNNNNNNNNNNNNNNNNNNNNNNNNNNNNNNNNNNNNNNNNNNNNNNNNNNNNNNNNNNNNNNNNNNNNNNNNNNNNNNNNNNNNNNNNNNNNNNNNNNNNNNNNNNNNNNNNNNNNNNNNNNNNNNNNNNNNNNNNNNNNNNNNNNNNNNNNNNNNNNNNNNNNNNNNNNNNNNNNNNNNNNNNNNNNNNNNNNNNNNNNNNNNNNNNNNNNNNNNNNNNNNNNNNNNNNNNNNNNNNNNNNNNNNNNNNNNNNNNNNNNNNNNNNNNNNNNNNNNNNNNNNNNNNNNNNNNNNNNNNNNNNNNNNNNNNNNNNNNNNNNNNNNNNNNNNNNNNNNNNNNNNNNNNNNNNNNNNNNNNNNNNNNNNNNNNNNNNNNNNNNNNNNNNNNNNNNNNNNNNNNNNNNNNNNNNNNNNNNNNNNNNNNNNNNNNNNNNNNNNNNNNNNNNNNNNNNNNNNNNNNNNNNNNNNNNNNNNNNNNNNNNNNNNNNNNNNNNNNNNNNNNNNNNNNNNNNNNNNNNNNNNNNNNNNNNNNNNNNNNNNNNNNNNNNNNNNNNNNNNNNNNNNNNNNNNNNNNNNNNNNNNNNNUAUAUAUAUAUAUAUAUAUAUAUAUACUAGAUCUGGAAACGUGUGUUGCACGUUUAUCCCAAAAUACUACAUAUAAAUUUUGUAUUGUAAAAUCUAUCAUUGUUUCGAUAGGAACUACAUAUAUCUUCCUAAUAAAAAGAAUAUACUUUUAACUAUAAAAUUGACUAAAAGUGCAUAAAGUAAAAAUAACUAACUAUUGCAUAAAUUCAAUAUUCAAAUGAGGAUACUAAAAUACCACAUGCUAGGCUAAUGUAUACAAAGCAACAAACCAUGGUAAAUUCUCAAUAGUAAUAACAACACAACAAUAGAAAGCUGUACAAUAACAACAACUAAGAAACAUAAAGGUUAAACUACAAAUAAAAAAAAAGACAAGAGAAGAGAGCAUAGAGAUUUUCUCAAAAAAAAUUUCAAUUGGUUUAAGUGGGUACAUUAUUGUGUCAAAUGUCACUAUUUAUAGGAUAGCAUUGAGGAACAUGAAGAGUUGUGAUAAAUAUGAUAUUAAUCCAUUUGAGAUUAUCGAUGAGAGAUGAGAGUAAAAAACAUAAUGAAUAUAAUAAGUGGGUGUUACAUACAUUUACAAUUUAAAUGUAAAUUUAUUAAACAAUUUAUGUAAAUUACUAUUUAAUAUUUAAUUUAUUAAACAAUUUAUAACAUUUAAAUGUAAUGUAGAAAUAAAACUAUAAUCUAAGGAUAAAAUAUGUAAAAGAAUUCAAAUAUAUUAAAUGUGUGAUAGAAAAUCAUUAUGACUAAUUAUUAAAAAAUUCCUAGUAACUAUGAUUAUGCAAAAAUCAUCACUAUUACUAUGUGGACGAUGUAAAGAUUGUUGAUUUUUUCUUGCUAAUAAUAACUUGCAAUUUAAUAAUGAGUAUUGAAUUGUAAGUCUAGUUGGAAACAGGAGUAUUAAUUACCAUAAUACGAACAAUCAAAAUUCAUUGAAUCCCAAAAUAAAUAUUAAAUGAAAAAAUAAUAUUUUAAAUAAUUUCAAGAAAAUAAAUUAAUACUUAAAGGGCAUUUUCAUAAUUCAACUUUUGACUUAGAUUCUUCCCACGUUUAGUAAUAUAUGAUAUCGAAAAAUAUAUUUGGCAGGACACUUUUUUGGCAUGAAAUGGCAUGACCUUACUUUUUAAGGGUAAGGUCGUAAUUUUGCAGAAAUAGAAAGGGUGAUAGGGUAAAUUCAUUUUUUUGUUGUACCCAAAAUACCCUCUAAAGUAAAACUACAAAAAGAAAAGUCUGAAACUACUAGAUGGUUUCAAGAAAUUACAAUAUCCAAGAAUUUUUUCCUUCCCAAUAAAAAACAAUGCCCAAGAAGCAUUUAUUUAUAUUCACUUCAAUACUCUAUUCACUUUCUUUCUUCCAAUUUUUUUAUCUUUCAUUGUUGUUUAUUAUUCCAUUCUUCUUCCUUUUUAGUAUCACCUGUUUUUAAGCGGGGUGGGGGGGGGGGGGAAUAAGGUAUAUUCAUUAAAUUUUAAAAACAUUCUUUAAAGUAAUAUUAUUUAUUGAUUAAUUAAUACCUCUAGAAAAUAAUAACAAUAUUUUACAAUUUCAAUAAUUAUACUCCACGUUGAGAAUAGCACUACUAAUUUUCAUGAAAUUCAAAACAUUUAAUGAAUCCAUUAUUUUCUAGUUAAUUUUUUUUUAUAGUAUUUCCUUAAGAGUAUUAAUUGUAGUAAUAAAGUGAGAAAUUUUUUUAAAACUAAUUUUAUUUUAAUUUAAUGAAUAAACAAGUAAUUUAAUAUAUAUAUAUAUAUAUGGGAUGGAGAAAGUAUUGAAUUGCGACGUAAAAGAAAUUUGAGAGCAAAUUUCUUAGAUAAUCAUCCAUGUUUGGAAAUUUGUCUUGUAAUGACUUUUGUUUCUUUUAGGAUCACAAUAUCACUGAGUUAUUCCUAUUUUCCUCAAAAUAUAAACCUCACUCCUAAUGAAAUGCCAUGCCGUGUUAUUAUUAUUUUUAACAAUAGAAUAAAAACAUUUACCUCGCUCUUGAAUUUUAUAAAAAGUAACAAAAUUUAAAAUUUAAAAUUUAAAAUUAACUAAUAUUUAUUAUUUAUAUGUAAAUAUUUAAAAAAAGUUAUUAUCUUAUUUAGUUGAGUACGUUAAUUUAAUAUUGUUAGUACAAUUUUUUUUGUUCUGAUAUAAAAAAUAAUAUAUAUAUACACACACAAGAUGAUGUGACACUCUCUAAGGUCACCAUUCAGAUUUAUCUUUUUUUCUCCUUUACUUUUGAUAUUUUUCUUUAUUUUCCCCUAUUUUCUUAACGGAAAAGGGUCAAAAAUACCCCUGAACUAUUGGAAAUGGAUCACAUAUACCCUCCGUUUGAUUUUGGGGUCAAAAAUACCCUUACCGUUAGUGUAUUGGCUCACUUUUACCCCUCAAAACUAACAGAUGCCAUGUCACUUAAAAAAUCACAUAAAACCAUAUUUUUUUAGCUGACUUGGAAAUUCAAAUGGACAAAACUCCCAACAUGACAGCAACAAUCCACAAGUGGGGUGGGUGUAAUACACCCUUGGCUCAAUAAAAGUUCAAAAAUGACAAAAUUACAGCGAAAUUAACACAACAUUUUGAUAUGAAAUCUUUAUUUCACAAUUCUUUAUUAAAAAAAAUACAAACUUUAAUCACUUUUCAGUUUCUUCGGUUAGGAGAACGGCAAUGGAAGGAUUUUUUUUGUCCAUUUGAAUUUCCAAGUCACCAAAAAAAAUAUGGUUUUAUGUGAUUUUUUAAGUGACAUGGCAUCUGUUAGUUUUGAGGGGUAAAAGUGAGCCAAUACACUAACGGUAAGGGUAUUUUUGACCCCAAAAUCAAACGGAGGGUAUAUGUGAUCCAUUUCCAAUAGUUCAGGGGUAUUUUUGACCCUUUUCCGUUUUCUUAAUUAAAGUAGAAUAAUUGAAUGUAAUUAAGAAAGGAGAAUGCAUGAUUGGAAUUUGGAGUGACUUCUCAAUUCUUCAUUAAUAAAUAUAAUAAUUAAUAUAAUAACUUAUACACAAUAAAUUAGUAUGAUUGUUAAAAAUAUUCUAAUUUCAUUAAAUUUUUUAUUCAAAUUUUUGACAUUUUUCUUAAUUUUUUUAUUUGUAUAAUUUAUUAAAAAUUCCAAAACUAUUUCUUGAGAUUCAUUUAAACAACAAAGGUUGAUAUCCAUUUUCAUGAAAUAGUUCCCACGUAACUAUAGACAUUAAGCACUAUUUCCUCUCUUCUUUAAUUUGUUUUUAUUUCUCCUUUAUUUGCUUUAUUAAAAGUCUUACAUUCACAACUCAUUUAUUCCAUAUUCACUCUUAAUAAUAUUCAUAACUCAUACUUUUCAUAUUCAUAAUUCCUAACUAUUUAAUUUAAAUUUAAAACACCUUAUGGUAUUCCAUCAUUUUAUCUUUAUAAAUAUGAUUAUUCUAUUAUUUCAUAUUUGAAGUAGUAAUAUAUAUAUAUAUAUAUUUCAUGUGACAUUAUAUUUAUGUUUUAAUCUUGAAGAAUAAAAUUCUUCAAUGAAGACCGGCUUGUGAAAUGAAUAUCGAUAACGAUAAGGGUUCGAAGAAUUAUGAAUUGAUGAAUCGAUUUAUUGAAUUCAUAUUUUUUUGAUAAUGGAAGUUGUAAAAUGAUGUUUGUAUUGUAUUACUUUCUCCUUUAUUUAUUUAUUUAUUAUAUAUUUUCUUGAUAUCUUUUUAUCUUGAUUUUUACAUUAUUCAUGUAAUUGUUGUUAUUAAGAGCAUGCAUAAGGUAGUUAAAUUUAUGCUCAAGGUAUUUGACAUUUUUUUUCGUCAAAUCGAGAAUUUCUCUGAGCCCUUUUUCUUAUUAUAAAAUGACAAAUAUAACUUUUAAUAUUUAAGUUUUUCUAAUUUAAUUUAAUAUAUUUAUAAAUAAUAACUACUCAUAACUCAUACCCUUUAAUUUUAGUCUUGAUAAUUUCAUAACUUACNNNNNNNNNNNNNNNNNNNNNNNNNNNNNNNNNNNNNNNNNNNNNNNNNNNNNNNNNNNNNNNNNNNNNNNNNNNNNNNNNNNNNNNNNNNNNNNNNNNNNNNNNNNNNNNNNNNNNNNNNNNNNNNNNNNNNNNNNNNNNNNNNNNNNNUUCUUGAAGGAAGACUUAGAAGAAUAUUUUUUGAAGCAUAGUUAGGAAUUACUUUUACUAGAGAUUUUUUUUUUUUACUUUGAGUUGUAAUAUAUAGUAACUUAAGUACACAUAUUGACAACAUUACUCAUUUAGUCCUCUAUGAUCCUACUUUUUAUUGUAGAACAUAAUUAAUAUAAUUAUCUUAUUUCAAUCAAAAGAAUUAUGAGAAUAAGUUAUAUUUUAUUUUUCUCACAAAGAAAAUUAAAGAUGAAAUAAAUUAUUAUAUGACAUCAUUGCUUAUUCUUAUGCAUAUGUAAUAAUUUGUUUUUGUCACUAUUCUUUUCUUGGUUGAAAUGUAUUUUAGAAGUUUUCUUUUCAUUUUUUAUUACUUUGUGAAUAUAAUAAAGUAGAUUAUUAUUUUUUAUGUCUUAGCUACAUAAUUAUAAAAAUCUAUGCUUAUAUAUUAUUUAAGUGGGGUCUUUGAUUAGAUUGUAACAUGACACGUCUUUUAUGCAAUCAAUUUAUUUAUCCUUUUCUUAUUUUUGGGAUCUUUUUACAAAUAAAAUCAAUGCACAACGAUUAAUGUACUUAAUGUCAUAAUAAUAUUAUAUAUUAAAGUUAUGAUAACUCAUGUCUCUUAUCUUCUUUAUAACUUCUACUCUUAAAUAUUAUUGAUAGCUCCUAUUUAUUUCAUUUUUAUAAUUUUUAAAAACAUUUCUUUAAUAUAUAAAUAGUAAACAAAUGUGAUGAAAAGACGUAACGUGGAAAUUCAAAAAAUUAAAUAUCAAAAUUGGUGUUAUCAUAAAUGAUCGAGUACUCAAAAGAUAGAUAAGAUUUAAACAAAAAAAUGUAUUGUUUUCAACUUAAUACAUAGAUUGUUGUAUGAAAAUAUGACCUCUAAAUUGUUUGUUCUACCAUAUGCAUAUAAAGUCUAUUUAGCAUAUGUUUCAUAUGAAGGCAAAAAAUUUACAUUGUCUUUUAUGUCACUGGCAUGAAUAUAAAUAUUCCAUACUAUUUCAUUAUAAUUAAAAAUUAGCGAUUCAUAGAAUUAUUUUUAUAAAUGAUAAAAUAAAUUAAUUUAUUAAUUUUCAUUACAAUCACGCGAAGCAAGAAUAGUUUCACUAGUAUAUAUAUAUAUAUAUACACACAUACAUAUAUAAAGAAUAAAAUGAAAAAUAGUUUUUAAAAAUAUUAUUUUUUAAUUUUUUUUGAGGGGGGGAGGGGGGUGGUAGGUGGUUGGGUAAGUAUGGACAAAAAAAAGAAAAUUUAAUUUUUUUUCAAAAAUAAAUUUUAAUUUUUUUUUGUGGAAAGCGGGGGUGGGACAAUCAAGAAUUGAGUGGGGUAAAAAAAAAUCGAAAAAAUCUAACUUUGAACUGUUUUUCAAAAAUAAAAUUUUAAGUUGUUAAUUUUAUUUUUUUUGUUGGGGGGAGGGGCUAGUUUGAGUGUAGUAACAAAAUAAAUUGAUUUUUUUUAAAAAAGAAAAUUUUAAAAAUUUUAUUUUUUUGAAUGGGGAGGAUCGGGGUACGGAGUGAGGUAAGGAAAAAAAUUAUUAUUUGAGAAAAAUAAGUUUAUUUGAGAAGUAUUUUCUAAAAUAUUUAAGUCAACCAAACAUAAGAAAAUUAAGAAACAUUUUCUAGAAUAAGAGAUAAAAUGAAUUAAAUAAAAAAGAAAGUAAAUUGAAAGAGUAAAGUAAAUGAAAUAAAAUGAGUAAAGUAAAUAAAAAAGAAAAGUCAAAGGUGAUUUUCUUCUUUUUUUUGAGGGAAAUUUAGGUGGUUUUGGAGUAAAGAGCCAAAAGGCUAUUUCUGUCAUUUCGCAGUGUCAUGCUAGGUCGUGCAAAAAAAAAAUGUUAGUGCCUUUUAAUUUUACUCAUAUGAUAUAUGAUGAUGAUGAUGAUGAUAUGAUGAUAUAUUUGCUUUUAAAUCAAUGAUUAUUCGGUUCCUUAUAUACUUUCCAUGUAAGUUCAUUAAUUUUCUCUUUUUCCUCUAAACCUCUUUAAAUUCUCAGUCUUUGUGUAAUAAUUAUUGUGUCAUUUCUACUGAUCACUAGUCCUUUCCUCCAUCUUCUUUUAUCUUGAAGUCUCUGUCAUAGAAAAUACCAGAAAAGUUCUCCUUUGUCCACUUGUACUAGUACUUGAAAUAAGGGAAAAUGGAUUGCUUCUUCCCCUGUUUUUGUUGUUUUCGAUUUCUCCAACCAAAUAUCUUAUUCUAUGUCAUCUGACUCUUCUCAUAUUCUUAUGUUUAAUCACUCUGGAGAAUCGAAGAAAAAAUUCAAGUUUGAUUUUGAUAGCUCCCUUGAAGUCAAAAUCAAGUCCCUUUAAUGAAAUUCAUUUUUCACUCACUCAAGAUCAAAACCCUCGUGCACGGCUGGAUCCUCGAACACACGCGAUUUUCAGGCACAAUGCAAUUUUCGAGCACACAUGUGACCAUCUUGUAGAAGCAGCAUCUAUCAAGACCAUAUAAUUAAGGUGUGCCCAUGUGAAUUCUCAACUAUUUUGCACAUUAUAUUGAUUAAAUAAAUGAACAAUUAUUCAAUAAAUAAUAUUAUAUUAAAACACAUGGUUAAUAUAUAGUAUAUCCUAACAACCAAUAGUAUAUCUUCCAUAUGAUGUUCAUCAUGAUUCAUGACGAAACAAUCCCUGAUAUAAAAUUCAAUUAAUUCCAUCCAUUCAAGUCGUCUCUUUCGAAUUAUAAAAAAAAAUAGUAGUUGAAGAUCGAGAACGUGGCUUAUUUAUUGUGUAAGCUUUUGGCUUAUAAUAUUUAGUAUUCUAACAUAACCAAACACUCCCAAAUAAUGCACUGUUUUUUCUAUGGUGCCACACAUUAUAUAAUUCAUGAGAUCCUUUCAAGUAGAGAUAAUUUAGAAACUAAAAAAGUUGGUAAGUAUUAGGAUGGCUUUGAUAUGGGCAACACUAGUUGUUAUUUUUGUUGUGUAUGCCUUGUAUGAGUUGCUAAACAACAUUCAGAAUAGGAAAAGGUAUCCCCCAGGUCCAAAAGGCCUUCCCAUUAUAGGACAUCUUCACUUGUUAGGAAAAAAUCCACACCAUGAUUUCCAAAAACUAGCCAAAAUACAUGGUCCCCUUAUGUAUGUUAGACUGGGACUAGUACCUACAAUCGUUGUCUCGUCUGCAGACACAGCGGAGAAGUUCCUCAAGACAUAUGAUCAUAUCUUUGCUAGUAGACCUCAUAACGAGGCAGCUCUGUAUUUGGCAUAUGGACAGAAGAAUAUGAUAACCGCAAAGUAUGGACCAUACUGGCGCAACAUGCGCAAAUUCUGCACUCAGUACCUUUUGAGUAACCAAAAGAUCAAUCCAUUUCAAUCUAUGAGAAGGCAACAAGUUGAGCUUAUGAUCAAAUCACUUAAAAAUGAAGCUUGUCAUCAUCGCGCUGUUGUUGAUCUUAGUGCAAAGAUUUCGUCUUUGAGUGCUGACUUGACUUGCUUGAUGGUGUUUGGAAAGAAGUACAUGGAUGAAGAUUUGGACAAGAGGGGAUUCAAAGCUCUUGUUAAUGAGGUUGAGCAUUUAGCAGCAACACCAAAUCUUGGAGAUUUUUUCCCCUUCCUUGGUGUAAUUGAUCUCCAGGGACUCACUCACCGGCUUAAGGAUCUUUCAAAGGUGUUUGAUGAGUUUCUUGAGAAGAUUAUCGAUGAACAUGUCCAGUCUCGUGACCAGAAGCAAUCCAAAGACUUUGUUGACACCAUGUUGGACAUUAUGCAAUCAGGAGAAGCAGAAUUUCAAUUUGACCAUAGCCAUAUAAAAGCUAUACUCUUCGUACGUUAUUUCAUCCCAUUUAUGUCCUUCUAUUAUUAGAUUUGUUUGUACUAAUUUCCUCUGUUUCCCUUUCUAUAACAGGAUAUGUUAAUUGCAGCAAUGGGCACUUCAGCAUCAGCUAUAGAAUGGAUACUAACGGAGCUUCUUCGGCACCCUCAUGUGAUGAAGAAACUCCAAAAAGAGCUAGAAGAAGUGGUAGGCCUUGAAAGAAUGGUAAAAGAAUCAGACUUGGAGAAGUUGAACUACUUAGACAUGGUUGUAAAGGAGGGCCUGAGGCUGCGUGCCGUAGCACCACUAGCGCCUCACGAGGCCAUGGAAGAUUGUGUAGUCAAUAGCUUCCACAUACAUAAAGGAUCCCGGAUCAUGAUUAACUUUUAUGCUAUUCACAGGGAUCCAAAUAUUUGGCCUGAACCUGAAAAGUUUCUGCCCGAGAGGUUUGUUGGGAGCAGUAUAGACAUUCGUGGACGUGACUUCCAACUUUUACCAUUUGGCUCUGGCAGAAGAGGAUGCCCUGCAAUGCAGUUGGCAAUUGUCCUUGUCGACCUUAUAGUAGCACAACUGGUGCAUUGCUUUGAUUGGGAGCUUCCAAAUGGUAUGCAGCCUUGUGAUUUGGAUGUUGAGGAGCACUUUGGGUUAGCAACAAGCAGAGCAAAUCCUUUAAUGGCUAUUCCUACUUAUAGACUAAAAAACAAUGCUUAAAUCUCAAACGAUACAGUAUGGAGUUGGCUGAAAUAGUUGGCCUUAAUUUAAUAAGAUAUGUGCAAUGAAAACCAUUUCUUCUCUGCUUUACUGGUCAUGCUAUCUCUCAGACUACACUCCUUGUAAUUUGUUUUUCUCUUUAGUAUUUGUGGAGCUAAUAAAAGAUUUAUUCGUUUCACAAUUUAAUACGAAAUACGUUGUGGAAUAUCAUGGGUUAACUAGCAUAUAAUCACAAAUAAAUAGAAAAGAGAAGAAAAAUAACACAAGGACUUAAUGAGGUUCGGCUAGGCCUAAUCCUCCCAAGCAAGAGCAUAGAGAGUUUUCCACUAUGCCUUAGAAUCCCCAACUACAUCCCUAUAUAUAGAUCUCAAGUAGUCUCAAACCUAUAAGUAAAAGGUUCUCCCAAUCCUAGGACAAUAUAUAAUUUCUCAAAUCUAUUAGGACAAAGGAUCUCUUAAACCAAUAGAGAUUAUGAGUUUCCUAAAAUAUAUAAGGAAAGAAUUCAAGACAUAAUUAACAAAUCUUCCCCUUGUCUUGAAUUCCCUUCAUCAGUAGUAACAUAUCUUUGUCUUGUCCUCAGCCCUCGAAAGGGCUUACUGAGUACUGUUGCAACACUCAAAAAAUUUCUAAGCUAAGAUCUGAACAAUUCUUCAUAUAUGUAUAGACUCUUAACAGAUGAUUUACUAAUAAUGCAUAGGUGCUAAGAUAAAUUUCAAAGUGUGGGAAGUAUAUUGUAUGUAAAUUAGGGUCAUAAGGAACCUCUAACACUACGUUGAGUUCAAAGAUUCUCUACCAAUUAACUUUUUGUAUAAGAUAAUGCAAGGGUCAACUUCAAACAAGCAUAUCUCUUAUAAUGUUAGGAGUUAUGUGUCUUAUUACCCGUCACAUUAAAGGUCUUUGAGUCUUCUUUUUAACAUCACCAACCAUUUGUAAAUUUGAGUCUAGAAUAAAAAGUUAUUAUUGUUUUACCCGAGACAUUCUAGUUUAAAAUUUUCAUUAAUACAACUCUUAUGUUGAGAGUACGGUCCGUACUUUGACUCGUGGAAAACUUCAAAGAGUUUUGAAAUUGACCCACGCAACCAGGAGUCAAACUACGACUCAUAGGGAUCGUUUGGUACAAAGUUAAGUAAUGCAGGGAUUAGCAAUGCAGAGAUUAACAAUGCAAGGAUUAGUAUUACAGGGAUUAUUUUUAAUCAAGUGUUUGGUUCAUCGUUUCUCAUCUAAUCUUGUGUUUGAUUUAAAACUCUACAAAAACCUUUUUUCCAAUUUUACCCUUGAAUUAUUAUGUUUUCUAUUUCAUGUAAUUAUCAUAUUUAUUGCGAUUUAAAACUUGAAUACGAAGUUCACGAUCCAAUGCUCACCUCCCUCUUCUCUUAACAAAACAAGAAAAAACAGUAACCAACAAGAUCUAAUUUGCUUUCUCAUGUAAUCUUCUUACCAACUCAAAUUAAAAUAAAAUAAAACUAAAGAAGUUGCACAAAGAUCAAAACCUUUUUGAUUUUAAUGACUCAAUUUGUGAGGAAAUAGCAGUAUUGCAGAUCAAAUAGUAGUGUUACAAGACGAGAGAGGAGAAAAAUGUUUUGAGUUUGUUUCACAGUUACAAAAUGCUGUGCUCUGGAAUUGAAGAGACGGAGUUUUAAGGACGAGAAAAUGGCUGGUGGUUUGUAUAGUUUUCCAAUCAAGCAAGAGAAAAUUUCAGAAGAUCAGAUUUUUUAACUGAAAAAUCUGUACAUAUUUUUUUCUUGUCCAAAAGAAAUUGUAUCACUUUAAUGAAAACAAUGAAGGUGUCAAAGAGCAGAACGUGAAUUUCCUUACCAAUUGUAAAGGUUGUAUAAAGAAAUUGAAGGGCAAUUCAGUCAUUUUGUUUCCUUAUCCAAGUAUUACUAAACCUGGAAUCAGUAAUCCUUAGAUAUUCUUGGUAUUAGAUAAGACCACAUAUGGUGUAUUAAGUUAUCCAUGUAUUAGGUGUGUUUGGGUUGAAUUGUGCUACCAAACAUUGUAUUAGGUGGACUAAAUUUUAAUCCAAGGACUAUUUUAAAUAAUACAUCCUACCAAACGACUCCAUAGUACAUGUAUGACCUGUAUAUCUUUAUAUAUGAAUCUGUAUAUCAGUCUAUACUAGUUGUAUAUUUGUUUUUUUUUUCAAAUUGUAUAAAACACUAUUUUGAGCUUCACUUCUCACUUCUCACUCUUUUGAAUACCCCAACAGGCCCCCCAAGAGCUCUAUUCAACUCUACUAAAUCUUGGUAAGUAUUUUUCAUAGAAACAACUCCAUGUGGCAAAAAAUUACAACACAUAACUAACAUAUGUAACAAUCCCAACUGAAAUUGUAUAUAGAAACACAUAACUUCACUCUUUAAAAAUCAAUUGAAAAUAUUUUUUUUUAAAAAGUGUCGGGAAAAAAAGCCACGUAGAUGAAACUUAAGGUCUAGUUAGCAUUGAGGUGUGUUUCUCAAACUAAUGAGUGAUGGUUUAGAUGUGAUUCUCACACUCUCAACAGUUUAAGUAUGACACUAAAAAAUGAAUAAUUUAAGUGUAUCGUUUACACUUAACGCAAAAACAACAUGUCAGCAAAAACAAAGGGGGAUACUUUCAAAUAUAUGCAAUAAAAUAAUUGAUUUACAACAAAUAUAGUCAUGUUAUUAUUUACGUAAAAAAUAGUCAAAAGUCGUAGAAAGUAUAAACUGACGCUACAAUAUAGCUUGCAAAAGUUAAUAGAAAGUUGUGUACACUAACUAUCAAUAUAGCUUGCCAAAAGUCAUAGAAAGUUGUAUACACUGACUAUAAAAUAUAAUUUACAUAUACAUGAGUUAUACACUGACUUAUAAAUUAUGGUACACUCCAAAAGAUGAAUAUAGGCGUAUGGACAUGCGAUUUCAUAUCAUGAUAUGAAAUCAACGUUAGGACAUGCGAUUUUACGGUAAUUUCAUAUCAUGGGAUGAAAUCCCAAUUCUCUAAAAAUUAUGAUUUGGGAUUUUUCAGAUGCAAAAAUUGACCCACGACUUUAUAUUUUGUAAAAUAAACUCACAUUUAAUUUAUAUAUAUCUACUUGCAGUUUAUUUCAUAUGUAAAUUAAAUUUAUAAUUCAUAUCAUUACCUUUUAAACCAUUUAUAUCUUAUAUAACGAUUAUUCUCGCCAAUAUAAAAUUAUUUUUAUUUCAAAUCAAUUCUUAAUUUACCAUUUAAAUUCACCAAAUUCAUUAUUUUAUCAAAUUUAUCACUACCUCAUUCAAAUUAAUAUUUAAUUAAAAAAAUCAUUAUUAUAUUGAGUGGACAACACUAACCACUAUGUCACUAAUUGAAAAAGACCUUUUAUUUUCCACCAAAAAGUUAAAAGACUCACUGUAGAGUUAUUUUGACAAAACGGCAGAAGAUCGUCUUCUACCUUUAGCGGGUCCUUUUGAACCGUCCAUUUUCACCAUAUUAGAACCUGAAAAUCAUAUACAAAGGUCACGAAAAUGUUAAGAAAAAACUGUUUCCUUAUGAUUUCUAACACUAAUUUGCAUUAUAAAUUCGAAAAUUAUCGAUCCUUUGUGCUUAGGUAACCUAAAAUUGUAGCGAAAAAUAGUGAAUCGACUUACCUCCCGCCAAUCACCAUUGUUGCAGAAACAUUUGUGCUUAGGUACCCUAAAAUUGGAUCUGCUCUUAGGCCAGAACUUUGUAAGGUCCAGGGAUACGGUGUGCCUUGCCGAGUUUUACUCUUUUUGGCUCGCGCGAGAUAAAACUAGGAUUAGGGUGUGUUUUCGUUAUGACGGAAAAUGUUUUCAAUUUUUUUUAAAAAAAUAAGUGGAUUUCUAACCUAUUUUCUCAUGUUUGAUUGAUGAGUAGAAAAUAUUUUUUAAUGUUUGGUGGUGCAUGGAAAAUAUUUUAAAGAAAAUAUCGUUUAUUUUUUGUAUGUGGGAUACUUGGAAUAGAAAAUAAUUUGAAAUCCUAUUUAGGGGAUGUUCUAUAAAUUAGACAAUUAAUAUAAUAUAUUUUUGAAAUACAUAACAGAUAAGAAAUACAUUUUUGUCAUGAAAUACAAUUUUUUUAAAUACAAACUUUGAUUGUUACCAUGAUUGUGAAUUUGUAUGUGUUUGAUGACGGGAAUACAAAUUUAGUCAAAAUUUUAAGAAAGAAUAUACAUUUUUGAUAAAUAUACAAACCAAUGUUGUAUCACUUUUGAAUGAACAUGAAUUUAUAAGUAUAUGGAUACAAAUAUACAUCUUAAAUAACUACAAAUCCAUUUGGUAUACAUAUUGGAAUGAAUACAAACUAAUAAAGAAAUAGAAAUGCCAUUGUACAAACCCAAAUAUGAAAAUCAUAAUGAAUACAAAUACACAUAUCAUACAUAUUGGAAUGAAUACAAUCAAGAGUAAAUUUUAAAAAUAGCAAACAUAAAAAUCAUAUUAGCGCUCUAUAACUACAGUUUUGUUAUUUGCGCUCCAUAUCAUACAUAUCUAUUCAUUGACAACACUAGAAUUAGUAAUACUUGUACAACUUUCUAAACCAAAUAAUUCAAGUAGUUUCUAGAAAGCCUUAUAGCAACUUAUUCCCAAGGCUUGCUAUGCUAUCAGACACAACUUGCAAGUAGCUCAUACAAAGGUAGCCCAGUUUGAAAUAUGGUUCAUUUAGUUAUCUUCUGACUUUGUUUGAAAGCACCAUAUCUUCCCUUACCUUGAUAAUGACUACUUCUCCUCCACAUUAAUUAGGGAAGACAUUUUCCAAAAAUAAUUUCUAACAUUACCAAAUCAGCCAUUAUAUGAUUGAGAUCUCUAGACCCUUUCAAUUAGACAUAAUUUACAAGCUAAAAAUAAUUAGGCAUGGCUUUGAUAUGAGCAAUGCUAGUGAUUAUUUUUAUUGUGUAUGCCUUUUAUGAGUUGCUAAACAAAGAUUUCCAAAAACUAGCAAAAUCACAUGGUCCACUUAUGUAUGUGCGGCUGGGACUAGUACCAACGAUCGUUGUCUCGUCUGCAGAUACAGCAGAGAAGGUCCUCAAGACAUAUGAUCAUAUCUUUGCUAGUAGACCUCAUAAUGAAGCAGCUUAUUAUUUGGCAUAUGGACAAAAGAAUAUGAUAGCCGCAAAGUAUGGACCAUACUGGCGCAACAUGCGCAAAUUGUGCGCUCAGCACUUUUUGAGUAACAAAAAGAUCAAUUCAUUUCAAUCCAUGAGAAGGCAACAAGUUGAACGUAUGAUCAAAUCACUUAAAAAUGAAGCUUGUGAUCAUCGCGUUGUUGUUGAUCUUAGUGCAAAGAUUUCAUCUUUGAGUGCUGACUUGACUUGCUUGAUAGUGUUUGGAAAGAAGUACAUGGAUGGAGAUUUGGACAAGAGGGGAUUCAAAGCUGUUGUUAACGAGGUUGAGCAUUUAGCAGCAACACCAAAUCUUGGAGAUUUUUUCCCCUUCCUUGGUAUAAUUGAUCUCCAGGGACUCACACACCGGCUCAAGGAUCUUUCAAAGGUGUUUGAUGACUUUCUUGAGAAGAUUAUCGACGAACAUGUCCAGUCUGGUGACCAGAAGCAAUCCAAAGACUUUGUUGACCAUGUUGGACAUUAUGCAAUCAGGAGAAGCAGAAUUUCAGUUUGAUCGUAGACAUAUAAAAGCUAUCCUCUUCGUACUUUAUUUCAUCACCUCUAUUAUUGUACGAUUUAAAUUUGUUUGUACUAAUUUCCCUUAUGUGUGUCAUAGGAGAUCUUAUAGUGGAUCACACUGUCAAAUCAUGAUAAGUGAGGUAACCACUCAUUGAAACAUUUCUACAAUCUUGAAGUAAAGUUAGCAAGUAGCCAUAAAAUAUCACUGUUUAUAUCAAGAAAACAUAACAUAAGUUACAUAUGAUAGGAUUGUUCAAAUUUUUCUUCAUUCUGGACUAAAUUCAAUUCCUUGAACAAUAAGGCCACCUUUUCCAUGAAGCUGCGUAAUCUCUAUCAAUCGCGCAUCAACAUCUUCAUCAUCUCCUGUAUCAUUGAUAAAGGAUCCCAGUUCUAUUUCCAUCCAUCCAUCAACUCUUCUUUGUGGACAUUUCAAGUUGCGUCUCCUAACAUUUUCCCCAACUAAACUCACCCUGCUAGCUCGUUCCUCUGCUUCUUUGUCGCUCACGCAAUUCACAAACCUAACAAAUGCAUUAGCAUUUUCUAGUCCCCAAUGUUCCUCUGCCAAUUUGAACAUUAAAUAAACAACAUAUUUGGUUCUUUUUGACAACAUUUGUGAUCCAAUCGUGCCUCCUAUGUCUAGCCAAAAUACUCUGUGGAGAUGAGCCACUUCUGAAAAUCUGCAAAAUAAAAUGUAUUGUCUCAUCAAUACCUGUAUUUAACGAGUAUAAGCUAUAUAUAGCUUCGAUAGUUAGUGGCAAAUUUUCACUAGGAAAAUCCAAAAAAUAACAAAAGUAACCACCAAUAAAGCUUAGGAAAUUCAACAUCUAACAUACAUACGUAUGACCUUUCAUAUGCACUUUUUUUACGAACGGAUAGCUCAUGCCAACAAUAUAUAUAUAUAACUUAAACUCGUUUUACCAAAAAAAAUCGUGAAAAUGAAGAGAGUAAAAUAGAAGAAAACUUUGGUGUAUCAACUCCCCAUGAAAUAGCAAGUUCUCUUGCUGAUAUCAUAAAACAUUUCUUCCCUGUUUUCUUAUCAAGUGAAAAGCUCUGUUUUCAAAAAUAAAAUAAAGUCUCAGAUACAUAGCACAUUAGAAAAUUAGUUAAAAUUUCUUUCUUGUAUUCAUAAAAGUUAUUCUCAUUAAUGAUGUAUAAACUAUUUAAUUUUGCAUUAUUGAGUGAAAAGCUGUUGACUGCUUAGCGGAAGACUUAUUCAAGCAAAAUGGGAUUCUAAUUUCAAUAGAGUAUUAAACUUUAAAGUCUCAAGUUAACUCUUAACUCAAAUAAAUGUCUGAAAAUGACUAACAUCGUAUAGAUAAGUGUCUCAAGACCUCAAAACAUCUCAACAAAAGAAAAUAAUGAUAGACUACUCAACUUCUAAUUAUCUAUGAAGCCUCUAAAUACUAUAAUAGAUAUCAGGACAAGAUCCACAACAUCUUUACAAAAUAGAAAAAUAAAUGUGGAGUCCUCCGGAAAGGCUCACCAAAGCUAGCUAGAGUGCAAAUGAUAUCAACGAAGCACUUGUUGAUGACCCUGAACACCUGUAUUUGCAUCAUAAAUAAGAUGCAGGUCGAAUAACUUCAGUACAUUGAAUGUACGAGCAUGCAUGGAAAACUGAAACAUAGAUAACUGAACUGAUAACAUGGGAAGACAAUACUCACAUCAACUCAACUCCCAUAUUAAAUAAAUAAUAAGAGAUGCAAUAUUAAAAUCUUUAAAAACAGUAAAUAUCAACUCAAGAAGUAUAAAAAUAUAGAAAGUUAUUCUUUACUCUUAUUUGAGAGAUUCUCUAACCGACAACUAUCACUAUGAGUUAUGUGAUGAUACAACAUUUCGCCCACACUGCCAGAACUGUCCUAUACCUUACCGGGGUAUAGAACACCUCAACUAAGUGGUCCACUAAGCUAUACUUAAAGGCAAUAAGAAAUCGUCUAAAAAGUACGACCCCUUACCCAUGUUGGCUACGUGGUUAUGAGCAAUGUGAAUUGUAUGAACUCAUCCUCAUAUCGGUGCUCAAUACUACUCCCAAUAAUAUAUAAACUCAUGCUCAAAUGUAUAAAAUAUAACUCUUUCUCAAUUUGCGGUAAAUACUCAAAAGAUCCUCUUAACAGAGGUAAUACUCUGAAACUUCUCUGAACUCAUAAACUCAUUUAGAAAUCAAUUUUCUCUCUUUUAAAAUGUGAAAGUGAUACAUUUGGGAAUACUUAGUUACCAUAUACUCUUUUUCAAUCAUGAAUGCAACACUUCUCAUUCUCAUAGUUACUUCCUCAAGACUUACGACUUACUUCAAAACUAUACUUAAUUACGAAAGAAUUCUCAAAAUGACUCAAAGGACCUCUUGAAUUUUUCUCUUAAACUCACUUUAAUUUGAAAUGCAAUUUAAGACAUGUGAUUAGGAUAUGUAGAAUCUCUCAAUGAUUAAUGGAGCAUUUAGGAGCUAACACGAAGAAGAGAAACACGUCCAGAAAUGAAGCAACGAAAGAAAAAGACAAGGCGACCUUGGCAUACUGAGUGGCACAGGGCGCCAGUUCCUAACUACUGGCCCAGCCAGGCACUAAACUACUGGGAAAUAGUUCAGGCACUAUGGGUGGCGCGCCGCCCCACGCCCCUGCCCAGAUUUCUGAUGAAUUUUUCUACUUCAAUUCGGGUCCUAACUCAUCUAGAAUCGAGUGAUUUCUUCUAAACUUUUUUUGAUUCACAAACCUAGCACGAAUUUAUAGAAAUUUCACAUAAUUCCUAUCAAGAAUCACAACUCAUUCUCAAGAUGCUCAACCCAAGAAACUCAAAACUCCCAUUGUUAAAGAAUAAAACAACAAUCAAGAACUACUCAAAAAUCUCUUAAUAUAACGAUUUUAUGUACGAAUUUAGAUGUAUGGCAUGAGGAAGAACGAGUCCAUCACUGUGGUAAGCCUUACAUACCUGGAAAGAACGAUGUUCUUGGCGAAUUCCACAAAUCUUGAUGAACGCUAGAAACUUAGCCCUUUUUUCCUCUUGAAACUUCGCUCUAAAAUCCCCAAGUGUUUAGGUACGUGAAAAAUUACUUAGCGUCUGAUUAGAAAAACAUGGUUAAUCCUAGUGGUAAAAGGAAAAAACCAAAAUACCCUUUUCUCAAACGGAUGAAAUACUUUAACUAGUGAGGCUUCACUCAAACGGACAUAACUUUUUACUCUGAACUCGAAAUUUAGCAAACUUGGCGGCGUUGGAAAGAGGACUCAAAGACCUUCGAUUUGAUAGCUCAUGAGCCACCUAAUUAUUUAUGUGCUACAAUAUAUGGUUAUUUGAAAUUGACUCAAAACUAAAAACUAAUGGGUGACUUGUACGGAUCUUUAUUUAGCUCUUUCGAAAACUGAGGUAUUACAUCAGUAAAUAGAGAAGAAUCUUGCAAGGUAUCAUCUUGCAUGUUUUCAACCAAUUCAGGCAAAGGUUGAGGUUGCUCACUAACAUCUAAUGAACCAAGAGCAUUAGAAGGAAUGAAAUGGACCACAGAUCUAUGUUAGUGAUACUUAACAUGUCCAAAUCUGAUAUGGUAUUUAUCUUAAAAGGAAAAAUAGAUUCUCUGAAAUCUACAUCCCUAUUGACAAAGAAGAUCUUAUCCUCCAGGUCAUAUAAUCUGUAGCUCUUUUGAGUUUCAGAAUAGCCAAACCAAACAACCUUUUUAGCCCUUGCAGCAAAAUUUGUCACUUCUAGGUAAUUUACAGGUGUAACAUAAGCAACCAAACACCUUUAAGUGAUCAAGAAUAGACAUCUUUCCGUACAGUAGUUCAUAAGGUGUUUUCCCAUUCAAAACUAGAGAAGGCGAUUUAUUGAUUAAGUACACUGAAGUUCUAACACAAUCACCCCAAAAACUUAUAGGCACGCCACUUUGGAAUUUAAGAGCUCUAGCCUUUUCUGAAAUGUGUAUGUUUUCCUUCUACUAUACCAUUUUGCUGAGGAGUCUAAGGACAACUGCUUUGGUGAAUUAUGUCAUGUGAAGCCAAUAAUUGUAUGCAAUGAGUGUUGAAGAAUUCAGUUCCAUUGUCAGAACUUAUGGAUUUCACACUGACACUAAAUUGAGUUUUAAUCAUACAAAGGAAAUUUUUCAAGACAGUAGUAACCUCACAUUUAGAAUGUAACAAACAAAUCCAUGUAUAUUUGUUGUAAUCAUCAACAAUAGUGACAAAGUAGUAUUUCUUAUCCUAUGUAGGCUUUAUAUAUGCCCCCUUCAAGUCUACAUGAAUCAAGUCAAAACAAGCAAGUGUCUUACUACAACUAGUAGGAAAACUGGACCUGUGACGUUUAGCUAGAGGACAAAUAUGACAUUUGUCUUGGAUAUUAUUGCUGGCAUAUUUGAAGAUAGAGGGAAUGUGUUGUAUCACAGUUGUGGAUGGAUGGCCCAAUCUGAGAUGCCAAAUAACACCUUCUACUUGGGGUUUGAAACUGACAGUAUUUGUAGUAGGAGUAACUUGUUCCUGUAGGAGAUGCAACCUUUCCCUUUCUCUACUAAUCCCAAGACCUUGCCAUUGUAGAGUCCUUGAAAGACACAAAAAUCAGGAAAAAAUAGUACAACACAAGACAAGUCCUUGGUUAUUUUAUACACUGAGAGAAGAUUAAACUUGAAAUCAGGAACAUGUAGAACACUCUGCAUUUUUUAUGUUCCAAAAUUAGUAGCAUUCGUUGCACUUGUCAUCUGGGAUCUCCCACCAGUGGGUACCUGAACUUUAUCACUAAUAUAGUUGUCUAGCUUUCUAAUAUCAAACAACAGUUCCUUACAAGGUGUAGUGUGGUGAGAGGCUCCAGAAUCAACAAUCCACUCAUAUGCAAAAACAUAUGAUAAUAAAGAAUGUAUACAUGCCGCGUUAGAUACACAUUCACUAGUGGAGUUUGUGUGAUCCUUCUUCCCAAGUAAUUCAUGAUAUUGUUGCUCAGUGAGGAAGUAACCUGAUCCUGAAUUGAAAGGAUCAUCUGAGCCAGUUCUUUGUGGAACUCCUGGUAUGGUAUUGGUGCUAGUCUUGGUUGUAGGUUUGCCCUGCGAUGUGCUUGUUGACUUUGUUGUGAAGCUUUCCUCUUGCUUAUGAAGUUUGAAGGGUAGCCGACUACCAUGUAGCAAUUAUCCUUUAGAUGAUCUUUGUAGCCACAAUAGAUACAAGGUAUCCAGCUCCUCCAAACCCUCCAUGGCCUCUUCCAACUCCUCCAGACCCUCCAUGACCUCCUGGUCUUUUAGGUCUGUAUCCUUGAGCCUUUCCUGCUAUCAUAGGCAAAGGAUCCUUCUGAGUAUCAACUACUCCCAAUGAUUUUUGGCUUUCCUCUUGAGCCAUGGUAGCAUAAACUUCAUUCACAGUCACAUUUGCAUUGCGAGACAGAAUGUGGCUCAUCAGGUUACUAUAACUCUCAUUAAGACCUAUAAGGAACUACAACAAUCGUUGUGAUUUCAAAUGGUCUAUAUAGGCAUUAGAUUCCUCACAGUCACAGGAAGGUACGUAGUGGAACCAUUACAUCAAGUUCAUUCCACAGAUCCUUCAUUCUAGAGUAAUAGCUUGUCACAGAGUCAGUUCCAUGCCUUAAAAUGGUAAUUUCUGUCCACAGAUAGUAAAUCCUCGUCAAAUUUGAUCUAUCAAAACACUCUUUGAAUUCAUCCCAUGCCUUCUUAGCAUUCAAAGCAUAAACUAUGCUUGGGAUCAGCCAUGACAGCACAAUUGCGUUACACUUCUCCCAUAAUUCUUCUAGUUUUCCUUUAAACUUAAUCUUCGUGCAAUUACCAUCCACAAACCCAAGCUUGCCUUUACCUUGCAGUGCUAGUUUCAUCAAUCUGCUCCACAGAGAGUAAUUCUCUAGUCCUAUGAGUUUGAUCAUAAUUAUUACUAAGCCUGGAGAAUCGGAAGCUUGAAGAUAGAGAGGAUGAUGAUGAUCAAUUAUCGUUGUAGUUGGAACUAUCAUUUCUGCAGUAGAUUCUUCUCCCGUCAUUGGUGUACUAAACGAAUUAGUGCGAUGAACUCAAACUCUAAGCUCAGCUGAAGGUGAGAUCGUCGCUCUGAUACCAUGUCAAUUUUGAGUUAUGUAUGAGGAAUCCAUGGUGGGUUCUCCACCAUUGAUGAAUUCCUUAAGUUAUUACGGAGAGAUUAGAAAGAAAAGGAAGGGGAACUAUUCUUUUGAAUGAGAAAAAAAUUACUUCAAUUACAAUUGGAGCUUGGUACAUCUGUCCAACUAACUUUUUCUAGAAGGUUCUAACUAACUACCUUCAUAACCAUCUAUAACUAAUUUUGUUAACUAUACCUUAGUAACACUUACAAAAAUUAACAGAAAUAAGGAACAAGUUAUUUCAAUACCAUGUAAUUACUAACACUAAUUUACAUCAAAUAUUCAAAAAUUAUAGAUCCGAAAAAUCAGAAUACCAUUUUUAAAGUUCAGAAAAUAACAAGGCAACGAUAGUUUCUAAUUGCUAUGAUACCAAAUGUAAGUUUUUUACAUGAUUCGAAGCAUGUAAAACUCAUUUUUAGAGCAAAAUUGCAGCAGAAAUAAUGAAUCAGCCUACCUCCCGCCAUUGUUGUAGAAUCAUCAUUGAUGUGGAGUUCAGAAUCCGAUGAGUAUUCUAAGCACUUAAACCUCACUUAAAGAUGUUGUGGAGUUUAGAAGAAGCAUUUGUGCUUAGGGACCCUAAAAUCGGAUAUGCUUUUAUUCAUAAUGUUCUUUCAUCAAUAAUACAGGUUUGCACUUUCACUGAUGGGAAGCAGUUAUGAGUAAUUUAAAAUUCAGAAGUCAUGCCUACAGUAAUAAAAACAUAGUGUAUUUGUCGUAUUAGGUUGUCUCACGAAUAUAAUUGAUUUGUAUAAGCAAAUAUUUGUGGGAAAAGAAAUAGGGAAGGGGAGCAACAUCUUAUUCUCUUCGCGAGAACUUCUGGAUCGUAGAAGCAUUUGGAAUGGGGUCCGCGUUCAUUUCGUGCAAAUCAGGGAGAGAAAACAUGAAUGUUUUUUUCUCUUUCAAGAGAUUCAUUCUCGGAAUCGUGCCUUGAGGGGGAUGCUGCCAAUCCUACCGAGGACUUUAUGGAUUUCAUUUUCAAUUUCCCAUAGAAUCUCCGGAGCUUUCCUAGCCACUAUAGUUUUCUUUUUUUUAUCUUCUUUGUCUGAAAAUAGGUUUGAUUUGCUUCACCUAUGAGAAUUUCUACCAAUUCUUAUUUUAUUCAUCAAAGCUCAUCCUAAUCUCCGUCGAGAUUACUGCCUUAGCCCUGUCCUAUCAUCUGUAUAAUGGAGUUAACGUGUAUUAACGAAUACAAUUUGUAUCAACAAAUGCAAUUGCAUUAGGUGGUAUCAACAAAUACAAUUGUUAUCAAUGUAUCAAAUAGAUUUGUUCCUUGUGUAUUUAAUUUGUAUCAACAAAUACAAUUUGUAUCAACAAUUAUAACUGUAUCAAGUUAUAUCAACGAAUAUCUAGUGUAUAUGUUGCUUGUGUAAUCACUCUAUAUCAAGUGUAUCAACAAAUAUAAUUGUAUCACGUGUAAUAACAAAUAUAAUUUGUAUCAACGAAUGCAAGCUUUGAAGCCGUAGCUUGCUGGUUUUUCCAUCAUCCAAUCCACAACAAAUCGAAUGAAACCUGGCGAAAAAGAAGUGAACAAUUUGCUGAGGAACGAAGUAGCUCGCCUAAAAGGAGAGGAACGAAGCUUCGUGUUUGUUUUUCUUCAAACCCCAAUCCGCUCUCGCUCACCGCUACUAACGGGGUCUCGGUUGAUUUCCCUUCCUUUAGCUACUAAGAUGUUUCAGUUCGCUAAGUUUGAAAAGUCCAAAGAGCGCAGACUUGCAGUCGUAUCAAUGAAUGCAAUUGUAUCAAAUUGUAUCAACGAAUAUAAUUGUAUUAAGUGUAUCAACUAUUUUAUCACUUAUAUCAACAGAACAUGAUAAGAUGAAGAAGCACAAUUUCAAUAUAUACAAAAUGCAGUAGCAUAAAAAAUUGGAUAAAUUAGCUAACUAGUCAAAAUCCCUAAUAUAAUUAUUAAAAACAUCUACACUUUAAAAUAAUUAUUAAAAAUGUCAAAAUGUCAAUAUUUUAGCACAUAAAGUGUAUCAUAAUAUAAUUCAUUUACCUUUCUUUUAUUUCUCAAAUUGGGCUCACUUUUUGACUCCAUUACGGGUGAAAGGAAAAAACAAAGGGGAACUAAUUAAAUACCCCAUAAAAGUAAAAUAAUUACAAACAUAUACUCGUUUACAUUCAUACCCCACUAAAUAAAUACACUAUAUAUUGUCCAACUAAUUUCUCUUAACUGAUACUAAAUCAGUAUUAUAUAUUGUAUUAGUAUCAUUAAGGCUGAUAAUUUCACUUAAUUUAUACUAAAUCAGUAUAUAUAUAUAUAUAGUAUCAUUGACUAAUGAGUAAUUUUUGAACAAGAAAUCUUAAUGGUACCACAACAAUAUACAUAUACUCUUAUAGUAUCAUUGACUAAUGAGUAAUUUCAGAACAAGAAACUGUAAUGAUACCAAUACAGUAUAUAUACUGAUUUAGUAUCAGUUAAGCGAAAUUAUCAAUCUUAAUGAUAUCAAUACAAUAUAUAAUACUGAUUUAGUAUCAGUCAAACAAAAAAUAUCAGCCUUAAUGAAUUGAGGGUAUGAGUUGUAUUUAUUUAUGAGAGAAUGAGUAUUUCAGGAAUUACUUUGGAUUUAGGUAUGAACUUGCAAUUAUUUUGGGUUUUAUGGCCCAUUUAUGUAGUUUUUUUACCCAAAUUCUAUCAUUUCUCUUUCUCUCUCUCACGAUUUCUUCCAUUAUUUCAUAUCCUCAAGUAACUUAAACAUUGCCUUUUUAAAAUCAAAUUCCUCAAUUUUUUUACGAAAUUUCAUAAAUCAUUCAAAAGUUUUGCAACCUUUGUUGAAGUGAAUUUGACUGAUUUGUGAUUGUUUCCAUUAGGGAGGAAAAUUUUGAAAUAAUCAGUUGGGAUUUCGAAGUGAAUUCGACUGAUUUCAUUGAACUUCGAAAUCGUCAGUGAAAUACAAAAACGAUCAUGUAUUCAUUAAUUGUUGAUUCUUUAAAAAAAAAAUUUGAAGUGAUUCGAAAAUGGAUCUGGAUCGUAUUUCGUACGGUUGGAUCUUCACUAGAAGAUCUUCAUAAGUUACUAUUCAAGUAUUGGAUUUAAAGGUUAGACGGUCAUUAAUGUAUUCAAUUUAGGAGUUUCGGGUCAAUAUCUCAUCCAAGACACUCUGUUGGACGACAUCAAUAAUUCUAGUUAUCUCUUCAAUGAAUUGAAGUAUUUUGUAUCAUUCUCAUAUGCAAAAGGACCCAAAUGAGAUGAAAGUACAGAAUAACCAGUCAUAUUUCAAAGUAAAAAAAUAUUUUUUUUUUAAUCUAUAAUCUGUUUGGGAUACAAAUAGUGAAUGAUUGAAUUGUUUUGAUUUUUUUUGUAUGUCGGAUGCUUGGAAUAGAAAAUAGUUUGGAAUCCUAUUUAGUAGAUGUUCUAUAAAUUAGAAAUUGAAUAUAAUAUAAUUUUGGAAUACAUAACAGAUAAGAAAUACACUUUUGGUCAUGAAAUACAAUUUCUUUUAAAUUCAAUUUUUGAUUGUUACCAUGAUUAUAAAUUUGUAUGUGUUUGAUGACUAGAAUACAAAUUUGGUUGGAAUUUUAAGAAAGAAUAUACGUUUUUGAAAAAUAUACAAACCAAUGUUGUAUCCUUUCUGAAUGAACACGAAUUUACAUAAGUAUAUGAAUACAAAUAUGCUUCUUAAAUAACGACAGAUCCAUUUGGUAUACAUAUUGAAAUGAAUACAAACUAAUAAAGAAAUACAAAUGUCAUUAUACAAACUAGGGGUGUACAAAACCGAACCGAGAACCGAACCAAACCACAAAUCGAGUCAACCCGGAAAAAAAACCCGACUAGUGGUUUGGUUUUGAAAAAAAAAACCUGACUAUAUUUGGGUUGGUUUGGUUUUAACUAAAAAAAACCAACCCGAGACCAAACCAACCCGAAUUUAUAUAUAUAAUUUUAAAAUUUUAUUUUAUACAUAAAAAUAUUUACUUUGAUAUAAUUUUUAAAUAUUUCUUAUACUUUUCCAUAGUUUUUAAUAUUUAAUAUAUUAUUUCAAGUUUGAAACUUAGAAUUAUGAAUGGGCCAAUAAAGAUUAUAGUCCACAUAUGUUGGUAAUUAUAAUAAAGCUUAAAUCAAAAUCAAAUUAAUACUAAUGCAAAAAGAAAAUCAAUUCAACACUAAGAAUGACAAUAAUAUUGAAUAUUUGUUCUUUAGUUUUANNNNNNNNNNNNNNNNNNNNNNNNNNNNNNNNNNNNNNNNNNNNNNNNNNNNNNNNNNNNNNNNNNNNNNNNNNNNNNNNNNNNNNNNNNNNNNNNNNNNNNNNNNNNNNNNNNNNNNNNNNNNNNNNNNNNNNNNNNNNNNNNNNNNNNNNNNNNNNNNNNNNNNNNNNNNNNNNNNNNNNNNNNNNNNNNNNNNNNNNNNNNNNNNNNNNNNNNNAAAAUACUGUAUUAAAUAGUCUAGGGAGGUAAUAGGUCCUCAUGAAAGUUUAGUAUCGCAACAUUAAAUCCGACCAAAGUUGGGGUAUUUUAUAGACCUUUAUCCCUUAGUUUUACAUUGGUUUAGACAAUUAAAAUACAUAAUCUAAUUUUAAUUUUCUUUAAUAUUUAGUCAUGUAACUAAUACUUAUUAAACUUAAUUUUAGCAUGAUUUAGUACUUUUAAAUUAUGAUCAUUUUCAUUAUGACUUGUUAAUUUGCAAUAUUUGUUUUACGUGAUUUCAUUAUUAUUAUUUUUGUUGGAUAUUUUAGUGUCAUUAAUCAUAUCAUAUUGUGUUAUAUUUUUAAGAAACAUCUUAGAUAGUUGAUUUUGGUAGGACUAAGAAACAUUUGAAGUACAAGUAAAUUAUAUGUGUGUAUGAAUACUUUACCGGAAAAACCCGAAACAACCCGAAAAACCCGAAAAAAACCCGAGGUUGAAAAACCCGAGUUUUAUUGGUUUGGUUUGGUUUAUAAGUUUAAAAAUCCGACAAAAAUGGUUUGGUUUGAUAUUUGAAAAACCCGAACCAACCCGGUCAUGUACACCCCUAAUACAAACCCAAACAUGAAAACCAUAAUGAAUACAAAUACACAUAUUGGAAUGAAUACAAUCGAGAGUAAUUUUAGGAAUAGUACACAUAAAAAUCAUAUUAGCGCUCCAUAACUACAAAUUUUCCCUACAAUCAAUUACUUUUGAAAUUGUAACUGAUGAGAAUUUUAAGUGGAUAUGUUUCUUUUUCUCCUAUGAUUUUCUCCUUUUUGUUAUUAAAUAAUUGUAUUUUUUCAAAUCAAACAAAUAAAAAAUACAUAAAUCAGAAGAAUAACAAACUAAAAUAUUGAUAAAAGUUCCUAUUAAAUGCUAAAAUAUUGACAUUUUGAAAAAAAUUCCAAUUAAAAAUUAGAAUAACAUCAUUCCCUAAUCAAGAAAAAUUAUGUUUAACCUUGUGCUCCAAUCAUAUAUAUAUAUAUAUAUAUAUAUAUAUAUGAAUUGUCCAUUUUCCAUCUUAAUUAGAUCGUGGGAAGAAAGAAAAACAUAUGCUUGGCGGCUUAAUACAGGGAAAAUGAUCAAAAUGGUCCUUAAUGUAUGGACUUUGAUUCCAUUUGGUCCUUAAUAUAUCAACUUCAUGGAAAUGGUCCUUUAUGUAUCAUAAAUUGUGAUCAAUUUGGUCCUUAACCAUAAAAUUAAUAUAUAUAUAUUUUUUUGCCAUCAAAAUACACGGAAUAUGUAAAAGAUGCGCUCGUUCAAGACUUUCCUUUCCCUAUUUUCAAAAAUUCCAAAAGGGCACAUCAAUUUUUUUUAACCAAAAGGGCAAAAUCGCUCAGGAGCGAUUUUUUUCUGACAAAAUUGACGCCGUUACUCCUUUAAAAAACAUAAAAAUCGCUGCUGUGAAUUUGUUUUUUAACAACGCUGCCCCAGCAGCGUUUAAAAAAUAGAAAUAGCUGCUAUAGUAGCCAUUUUCUUAAAAAAGUUAUAAUUUUUUUUUAUUACAAAUUUCCGAGGCAAGGACUGCUUAAAAAAAUAAUGGAAUUUCAGUAGAAAAAAUUUCCCAAUUGAGUUACUUUAUAAUUUUUUAUUGUAUAAUUUUUUAUUGCUAGCAGCAAUUGAAAAAUAAUAAAAAAAAUUCUUACUGAAAUCGCUGCCUUGGCAGUGAUUAUUUAAUUUUUUUUAAACUAAAAUCGCUACACGUGGAGCGAUUUCCCAUUAUUUUUUUAAGCAGUCCUCGCCUCGGGAAUUUUUAAUAAAAAAAGAUUUAAACUUUUUUAAGAAAAUGGCUGCUAUAGCAGCUAUUUCUAUUUUUUAAACGCUACUGAGGCAGCGUUGCUAAAAAAAAAUUCACAGUAGCGAUUUUAAAGAAAAAAGAAAAAAAAUUUGGAACGACAGCGAUUUUUAUGUUUUUUAAAGGAAUAACGGCGUCAAUUUUGUCAAAAGAAAAUCGCUCAGUCAAGAGCGAUUUUGCCCUUUUGGUUAAAAAAAAAUUAAUGUGCCCUUUUGAAAUUUUUGAAAACAAGGGAAGGAAAGUCUUGAACGAGCGCAUCUUUUACAUAUUCCGUGUAUUUUGACGGCAAAAAAAAAGAAAUAUAUUAAUUUUAGGGUUAAGGGUCAAAUUGAUCACAAUUUAUGAUAUAUAAAGGACCAUUUCCAUCAAGUUCAUAUAUUAAGGACCAAAUGGAAUCAAAACCAUACAUUAAGGACCAUUUUGAUCAUUUUCUCGCUUAAUACAUGCUCAAUUUUACUGUCCACAUGUAUGUGUGCUUUGAAGUAUUGUCUUCUUCUUUAAAUUUAUUAUCCAUAAUCGCUUGAAAAUUUAUGGCUUCUUCUUAGAUUUAUUAGAUGUGACAAACUUUAGUCUUAAAGUCCUAAAUCGACAAAUAAAAAUGCUAAUUUCCCAAUUCUAUUCUUUUUUUAUGUCAAAUCUAUCCAUUGACAACACUAGAAUCCCAUAAGAAAUCAAGUAAAUAUUAUGAAUAUAUUGAAUUAUUGAUGUUCAUUUAAUUCUUCUACAACUUUCUAAACCAACUUGCAGGCAGUCAAAUAAUUCAAGUAGUUUCUAGAAAGCCUUAUACCAACUUAUUCCCAAGGACUCUUUCAUCCUUAACCAAGAGGUCUCGGGUUCGAGCCCCUUGGGUACGGAGUCGCCUUUGUUAGGGAGCGCUUUACCCUCAAUAUGGGACUUCCCGGCACGAAUCCAGAUUUAGUCGGGCUCCAAUGUGGGUACCGAACACCGGGUGGGAAACAAAAAAAAAACUUAUUCCCAAGGCUAUCAACUUGCAAGUAGCUCAUACAAAGGGAGCCCAGUUUGAAAUAUGGCUCAUUUAGUUAUCUUCUGACUUUGUUUGAAAGCACCAUAUCUUCCAUUAUUGCAAAUUGGAAAACAAACUAUAUUAUUACAAAAAUUACCAAAAACAGCCAAAUCAGCCAUUAUAUGAUUGAGAUCUCUAGACCCUUUCAAUUAGACAUCUUUUAGAAGCUAAAAAAUAUUAGGCAUGGCUUUGAUAUGGGCAAUGCUAGUGGUUAUUUUUAUUGUGUAUGUCUUUUAUGAGCUGCUAAACAACAUCCAGAAUAGUAAAAGGUAUCCUCCAGGUCCAAAAGGCCUUCCCAUUAUAGGACAUCUUCACUUGUUAGGAAAAAAUCCACACAAAGAUUUCCAAAAACUAGUAAAAACACAUGGUCCACUUAUGUAUGUGCGGCUGGGACUAGUACCAACGAUCGUUGUCUCGUCUGCAGAUACAGCAGAGAAGUUCCUCAAGACAUAUGAUCAUAUCUUUGCUAGUAGACCUCAUAAUGAAGCAGCUUAUUAUUUGGCAUAUGGACAAAAGAAUAUGCUAGCCGCAAAGUAUGGACCAUACUGGCGCAACAUGCGCAAAUUGUGCGCUCAGCACCUUUUCAGUUACCAAAAGAUCAAUUCAUUUCAAUCCAUGAGAAGGCAACAAGUUGAGCUUAUGAUCAAAUCACUUAAAACUGAAGCUUGUGAUCAUCGCGUUUUUGUUGAUCUUAGUGCAAAGAUUUCGUCUUUGAGUGCUGACUUGACUUGCUUGAUGGUGUUUGGAAAGAAGUACAUGGAUGAGGAUUUGGACAAAAGGGGAUUCAAAGUUGUUGUUAAUGAUGUUGAGCAUUUAGCAGCAACACCAAAUCUUGGAGAUUUUUUCCCCUUCCUUGGUGUAAUUGAUCUCCAGGGACUCACUCGCCGGCUUAAGGAUCUUUCAAAGGUGUUUGAUGACUUUCUUGAGAAGAUUAUCGAUGAACAUGUCCAGUCUCGUGACCAGAAGCAAUCCAAAGACUUUGUUGACACCAUGUUGGACAUUAUGCAAUCACGAGACAGAAUUUCAGUUUGACCGUAGACAUAUAAAAGCUAUCCUCUUCGUACGUUAUUUCAUCACCUAUAUUAUUGUACGAUUUAAAUUUGUUUGUACUAAUUUCCCCUGUUUCCCUUUCUAUAACAGGAUAUGUUAAUUGCAGCAAUGGGCACUUCCGCAGCAGCUAUAGAAUGGAUACUAACAGAGCUUCUUCGACAUCCUCAUGUGAUGAAGAAACUCCAAAAAGAGUUGGAACAAGUGGUAGGCCUUGAAAGAAUGGUAAAAGAAUCAGACUUGGAGAAGUUGAACUACUUAGACAUGGUUGUAAAGGAGGGCAUGAGGCUGCAUUGUGUAGUUCCACUAAUGCCUCACGAGGCCAUGGAAGAUUGUGUAGUCAAUAGCUUCCACAUACAAAAAGGAUCCCGGAUCAUGAUAAACUUUUAUGCUGUUCAAAGGGAUCCAAAUAUUUGGCAUGAGCCUGAAAAGUUUUUACCCGAGAGGUUUGUUGAGAGCAGUAUAGAUGUUCGUGGACGUGACUUCCAACUUUUACCAUUUGGCUCUGGCAGAAGAAGUUGCCCUGCCAUGCAGUUGGGGAUCAUCAUUGUCCAACUUACAGUGGCACAAUUGGUGCAUUGCUUUGAUUGGGAGCUUCCAAAUGGUAUGCAGCCUUGUGAAUUGGAUGUUGAGGAGCACUUUGGAUUAGCAACAAGCAGAGAAAAUCCUUUAAUGGCUAUUCCUACUUAUAG
rnacentral:lncRNA from 1 species